AGGAUGAACGCUGGCGGCAGGCUUAACACAUGCAAGUCGAUCGAGAAAGUGGAGCAAUCCAUGAGUAAAGAGGCGCACGGGGUGAGUAACACGUGACUAACCUACCCUCGAGUGGGGAUAAACCUGGGGAAACCCGGGCGUAAUACGCAUAAUACCCACGGGUCAAAGGAGCAAUUCGCUUGAGGAGGGGUCGGCGGCGAGAUUAGUUAGUUGGCGGGGUAAGUGGCCCGACCAGACGAUGAUCUGUA
rnacentral:rRNA from 1 species